rnacentral:tRNA from 1 species
GUUUAUAUAGUUUAAAGAAAACAUUACACUUUCAUUGUAAAAUUAGACCAUUCUUGUAAAUA